AUUGAACGCUGGCGGCGGGCUUAACACAUGCAAGUCGAGCGGGGAAAGGUAGCUUGCUACCUAACCUAGCGGCGGACGGGUGAGUAAUGCUUAGGAAUCUGCCUAUUAGUGGGGGACAACAUUCCGAAAGGAAUGCUAAUACCGCAUACGCCCUACGGGGGAAAGCAGGGGAUCUUCGGACCUUGCGCUAAUAGAUGAGCCUAAGUCAGAUUAGCUAGUUGGUGGGGUAAAGGCCUACCAAGGCGACGAUCUGUAGCGGGUCUGAGAGGAUGAUCCGCCACACUGGGACUGGGACACGGCCCAGACGCCUACGGGAGGUAGCAGUGGGGAAUAUUGGACAAUGGGCGAAAGCCUGAUCCAGCCAUGCCGCGUGUGUGAAGAAGGCCUUUUGGUUGUAAAGCACUUUAAGCGAGGAAGAGGCUACUUGGAUUAAUACUCUAGGAUAGUGGACGUUACUCGCAGAAUAAGCACCGGCUAACUCUGUGCCAGCCGCCGCGGUAA
rnacentral:rRNA from 1 species